rnacentral:rRNA from 1 species
UACGGGGGGAGCAAGCGUUGUUCGGAUUCACUGGGCGUAAAGGGUGCGUAGGUGGUGAGGUAAGUCGGAUGUGAAAUCUCCGGGCUCAACCCGGAAAUGGCAUUGGAAACUACCUUGCUGGAGGAUUUGAGGGGGGAUUGGAAUACUUGGUGUAGCAGUGAAAUGCGUAGAUAUCAAGUGGAACACCAGUGGCGAAGGCGAAUCCCUGGAAAAUACCUGACACUGAGGUACGAAAGCUAGGGGAGCAAACAGG